rnacentral:rRNA from 1 species
UACGGAGGAUGCGAGCGUUAUCCGGAUUUAUUGGGUUUAAAGGGUGCGUAGGCGGAAGUUCAAGUCAGCGGUAAAAUCGAGGGGCUCAACCCCUUUAAGCCGUUGAAACUGGGUUUCUUGAGUGGGUGAGAAGUGUGCGGAAUGUGUGGUGUAGCGGUGAAAUGCAUAGAUAUCACACAGAACUCCGAUUGCGAAGGCAGCACACCGGCGCCCAACUGACGCUGAGGCACGAAAGCGUGGGGAUCAAACAGG